rnacentral:rRNA from 1 species
GAUGAACGCUAGCGGCAGGCCUAACACAUGCAAGUCGAGGGGCAGCACAGAAACAGCAAUGUUUUGGUGGCGACCGGCGGACGGGUGCGUAACGCGUAUGCAACCUACCUUUAACAGGGGGAUAACGGAGAGAAAUUUCCACUAAUACCCCAUAACAUCGAUCAAGGCAUCUUGAUUGGUUGGAAACUCCGGUGGUUAAAGAUGGGCAUGCGUUGUAUUAGGUAGUUGGUGAGGUAAUGGCUCACCAAGCCUACGAUACAUAGGGGACUGAGAGGUUAGCCCCCCACACUGGUACUGAGAAACGGACCAGACUCCUACGGGAGGCAGCAGUGAGGAAUAUUGGUCAAUGGGGGCAACCCUGAACCAGCCAUGCCGCGUGCAGGAAGACGGCUCUAUGAGUUGUAAACUGCUUUUAAACAGGGAUAAAGCACAGUAUGUAUACUGUGUUGAAGGUACUGUAAGAAUAAGGAUCGGCUAACUCCGUGCCAGCCGCCGCGGUAA